rnacentral:rRNA from 1 species
UACGAAGGGAGCUAGCGUUGUUCGGAAUUACUGGGCGUAAAGCGCGCGUAGGUGGUUAUGCAAGUCAGAGGUGAAAUCCCACGGCUCAACCGUGGAAUUGCCUUUGAAACUGCGUAGCUAGAGUUCGGAAGAGGAGAGUGGAAUUCCUAAUGUAGAGGUGAAAUUCGUAGAUAUUAGGAGGAACACCAGUGGCGAAGGCGGCUCUCUGGUCCGAUACUGACACUAAGGCGCGAAAGCGUGGGUAGCAAACAGG